rnacentral:lncRNA from 1 species
AAAAAACACUAGCUAAAGGAAAUUAUCAUCUUUUCUUUCUCUUUUAAUUACUUGUCCGAGUCAGUUUCCUUAGACUGGAGAAAGUUAUUAGGACUUUGCAGUUGAAAGAUGGAGGCCAUCAAAGGGAGUCUUACCACAAGUUGUCUGCAGAUCCAACUGGUGCUGUCAUUGGUCAUGUGGACUCUGCACUUUGGUGCCAGGAAUGUGUUCUCUCUGGAACUGGGGAAUGGAUAAAGAAGAUGCAAUAUAUAUAUAAAGAAAUAUUACUCUGCCAUGAGAAAGACAGAAAUCCUGCCAUUUCUGACAACUAGAG